rnacentral:rRNA from 1 species
UUUUCCGGUUGAUCCUGCCGGAGGUCACUGCUAUUGGGAUUCGACUAAGCCAUGCGAGUCGAGAGGGUUCGGCCCUCGGCAGACUGCUCAGUAACACGUGGAUAAUCUGCCCUUAGGUGGAGGAUAACCGUGGGAAACUGAGAAUAAUACUCCAUAGAUCUAAGAUGCUGGAAUGCACUUAGAUUAAAAGCUCCGGCGCCUAAGGAUGAGUCUGCGGACUAUCAGGUUGUAGUCAGGGUAAAGUCCUGACUAGCCUACGACGGAUACGGGUUGUGAGAGCAAUAACCCGGAGACGAUAUCUGAGACACGAUAUCGGGCCCUACGGGGCGCAGCAGGCGCGAAACCUUCACAAUGUGCGAAAGCGCGAUGAGGGAAUCCCAAGUGCUUGCACUUAAGUGUAAGCUGUUUCUUUGUUUAAAACGCAGAGAGAGGAAGGGCUGGGUAAGACGGGUGCCAGCCGCCGCGGUAAUACCUGCAGCUCAAGUGGUGGCCGCUAUUAUUGGGCCUAAAACGUUCGUAGCCGGCUGAGUAAAUGCUUGGGUAAAUCGUGCCGCUUAACGGUACGAAUUCCGGGUAGACUACUCAGCUUGAGACCGGGAGAAGCUAGAGGUACUCCUGGGGUAGAGGUGAAAUUCUGUAAUCCUGGGGGGACCACCAGUGGCGAAGGCGUCUAGCUAGAACGGGUCUGACGGUGAGGGACGAAACCCUGGGGCGCAAACCGGAUUAGAUACCCGGGUAGUCCAGGGCGCAAACGCUGCUUGCUUGAUGUUAGCUGGGCUCCGGGCUCAGCUAGUGUCGGAGAGAAGUUGUUAAGCAAGCUGCCUGGGAAGUACGAUCGCAAGAUUGAAACUUAAAGGAAUGGCGGGGCAGCACAAGCCAACCAGAAUUCC